CCUACGGGAGGCAGCAGUGGGGAAUAUUGCGCAAUGGGCGAAAGCCUGACGCAGCGACGCCGCGUGAGGGAUGAAGGUCUUCGGAUCGUAAACCUCUGUCAGCAGGGAAGAACGGUCACUGUGCUAAUCAGCAGUGAAUUGACGGUACCUGCAAAGGAAGCACCGUCUAACUCCGUGCCAGCAGCCGCGGUAAUACGGAGGGUGCGAGCGUUAAUUGGAAUUACGGGGCGGAAAGCGAGCGUAGGCGGUAUGUGAAGUCAAGGGGGAAAUCCCCGAGCUCAACGUGGGAACUGCCUUUGAAACUGGCGAACUGGAGUGUGUGAGAGGAUAGUGGAAUUACAGGUGUAGGAGUGAA
rnacentral:rRNA from 1 species